rnacentral:tRNA from 1 species
GUCCCGGUAGCUCAGCGGAUAGAGCAGCGGUCUUCUAAAUCGCAGGUCGCAGGUUCGAUUCCUGCCCGGGACG